rnacentral:rRNA from 1 species
UACGUAGGGGGCAAGCGUUGUUCGGAAUUACUGGGCAUAAAGGGUGCGCAGGCGGAUUGUUAAGCGAGAGGUGAAAUGUCAAGGCUCAACCAUGACACUGCCUUUUGAACUGGCAAUCUGGAGUACAGAAGGGGAGAGCAGAAUUUCCGGUGUAGGGGUGGAAUCUAUAGAUAUCGGAAGGAAUACCGUUCGCGAAGGCGGCUCUCUGGUCUGUUACUGACGCUCAUGCACGAAAGCGUGGGUAGCAAACAGG